GCAAUCGAAGCUCAGUAGUUAAAGCAUUUGUCUCAAGUACAAGCUCAACCUGGGUUCAAUCCCAGCCAUGUCA